rnacentral:rRNA from 1 species
ACUCAAAUGAAUUGACGGGGACUUGCACAAGCAGAGGAUUAUGUGGUUUAAUUCGAUGAUAAACGAAAAACCUUACCAAGAUUGGAAAUUUAACUGAAUACUCGGAGAAACUCGAGUAGCCGCAAGGCAGUUAGACAGGUGAUGCAUGGCCGUCGUCAGUUCGUGAUUUGAGUUGUUCCCUUCAGUGGGGUAACGAACGCAACCCUCGUUGCCUGUUACACGAAGUCAGGCGAGACUGCCCCUUAUCAGGGGAGGAAGGUGAGGAUGACGCCAGGUCAGCAUGUCCCUUUGAUAUCUUGGGCUACACACAUAAUACAAUCGUCGGUACAACGCGUUGCGACGGGGUAACCCUGAGCCAAUCGUAAGAAAGCCGGCGCCAGUUCAGAUUGGGGGCUGAAACUCGACCCCAUGAAGUUGGAUUUGCUAGUAAUCGCGGGUCAGCCAUACCGCGGUGAAUACGUUCUCAAGUCUUGUACACACCGCCCGU